rnacentral:lncRNA from 1 species
GUAGCGGGCACACAAGGUAGCCGGAGCCGCCUUAUUGCAAAACAGCAGAGGUAUAUAUACCUAACUGGUUACACACAGCUUGACUCAAUUAGCAUCAUCCAGUUACAGCAAUCAGCCAAUAAGGAAUCCCCGCUAUCUUAAUGGCUCGGUGGCAUUGCCUCACAAACCACUCCUCCUGGCAAACUGCCAGGCGCCAUCUUGACUUGAUUUGCGGUCCCCAACAAUCUGCAAUAUGUCCUGGGGAUUCUAUGUAAAGGACAGGUCCCGGGCACCAGCAAUGGAGGUUCUGAUGCUGUGGCUGUUGAGUAGCUUUGGGGAUCUAUAGUGAUUCAUGUAGCCCUUCCAACAAUUUUACGAAACGGAAGAACAAAGUUCAAAGCCAAGUCAUUUCCACAAAAUCACACUUAUGUUAAGCAUCUGUGUGUGCAGUCGUGUGCUGGUAAAUACUUAAGAUCCAGUUGUCUCAAAACUUCCCUUCCCUCAAAUGAGCCCUUAUUGGGUGUCUUUGCCAAUUCAGCAGUGAAAAUAUUCUGUCCUUGUCUGACUUCAAGCUAUCCACAUGGUAUUAGUGAAGAAAUGUUUAGGAACACACUAACAUUUCAACCACUCUCUCAUAAAUAACCCUAAGGCCAUAGAUUAUAGUAUACUAAAAUAAUUAGGAAGUAGUAAAUUUAGUUCAUUCCUUUAAUUCAGUCAUUCAUUUAGUAAUCAUUAUUUCAUUUUAAGUUCAUAAAAUUAAAAUUUCAAUAAUGGCUGAGGUUUAACAAUUUAGCUUUCCAAAAUUCUUAGGGCAAGGCAGCUCCAGUGUGCCUGACCAUGCAACUCUUUACAU